UCUCCGUAGGUGAACCUGCGGAGGGAUCAUUAACACGUUCCAAACCAUUAUUAACCCAACUGUGAACUUCGUACUUGCCUCGCUGUCUGACGGUGAGAGGUAGAGGCUGAAGCCAGGAUGAAGGUGAGGGGUCGCCUUGUGCGGCAGCUCAUACGGCUUCGGUCUCGUUGGUUUAUGCCAGCCUCGCACUGUCAGAUGAGGCCAACAACAUAUGCGAUCAGCGCUUGUCAUCGGCGCUGCUCGUCAUAUCCACACACCCGUUCUCGUUCGUGUGGCGUUUGUUUCUGCAACGGUGCAUGCCGAGAAUGAUUAACAUACUCUGUUGAUGUUGUGGGCUUGUGGCGCGUCUCUGUCUAACCAACAGAGCGGCCCUGGCCUGCCUGUCUCAGCUCCUAUGAUGGAGUCCUGAUGACUUGCAAUGAAUAGCAACACAACUCUUAGCAAUGGAUAUCUUGGUUCUC
rnacentral:misc_RNA from 1 species